rnacentral:rRNA from 1 species
AACGGAGCGAAAGCGACGUUCAACCGCAAAACAAGCAGAGGGGGCUUAGUGGUGGGGUGACUGCGUACCUUUUGUAUAAUGGGUCAGCGACUUAUAUUCUGUAGCAAGGUUAACCGUAUAGGGGAGCCGGAGGGAAACCGAGUCUUAACCGGGCGUUAAGUUGCAGGGUAUAGACCCGAAACCCGGUGAUCUAGCCAUGGGCAGGUUGAAGGUUGGGUAACACUAACUGGAGGACCGAACCGACUAAUGUUGAAAAAUUAGCGGAUGACCUGUGGCUGGGGGUGAAAGGCCAAUCAAACCGGGAGAUAGCUGGUUCUCCCCGAAAGCUAUUUAGGUAGCGCCUCGUGAAUUCAUCUCCGGGGGUAGAGCACUGUUUCGGCUAGGGGGCCAUCCCGGCUUACCAACCCGAUGCAAACUGCGAAUACCGGAGAAUGUUAUCACGGGAGACACACGGCGGGUGCUAACGUCCGUCGUGAAGAGGGAAACAACCCAGACCGCCAGCUAAGGUCCCAAAGUCAUGGUUAAGUGGGAAACGAUGUGGGAAGGCCCAGACAGCCAGGAUGUUGGCUUAGAAGCAGCCAUCAUUUAAAGAAAGCGUAAUAGCUCACUGGUCGAGUCGGCCUGCGCGGAAGAUGUAACGGGGCUAAACCAUGCACCGAAGCUGCGGCAGCGAACGUAUCACCCAAGACAACUUUACGGAGUUGACGAUUGACGGAGCGAAGCGACGUCAAAGCGUUCAUUAAAGUCGAGUUGGCUUAGGGAUACGUUCGUUGGGUAGGGGAGCGUUCUGUAAGCCUGUGAAGGUGUGUCGUGAGGCAUGCUGGAGGUAUCAGAAGUGCGAAUGCUGACAUAAGUAACGAUAAAGCGGGUGAAAAGCCCGCUCGCCGGAAGACCAAGGGUUCCUGUCCAACGUUAAUCGGGGCAGGGUGAGUCGACCCCUAAGGCGAGGCCGAAAGGCGUAGUCGAUGGGAAACGGGUUAAUAUUCCCGUACUUGGUGUUACUGCGAAGGGGGGACGGAGAAGGCUAUGUUGGCCGGGCGACGGUUGUCCCGGUUUAAGCGUGUAGGUGUGUGUUCCAGGUAAAUCCGGUUCACUUUAACACUGAGGCGUGACGACGAGGCACUACGGUGCUGAAGCAACAAAUGCCCUGCUUCCAGGAAAAGCCUCUAAGCAUCAGGUAACACGAAAUCGUACCCCAAACCGACACAGGUGGUCAGGUAGAGAAUACCAAGGCGCUUGAGAGAACUCGGGUGAAGGAACUAGGCAAAAUGGUGCCGUAACUUCGGGAGAAGGCACGCUGACACGUAGGUGAAGUGAUUUACUCAUGGAGCUGAAGUCAGUCGAAGAUACCAGCUGGCUGCAACUGUUUAUUAAAAACACAGCACUGUGCAAACACGAAAGUGGACGUAUACGGUGUGACGCCUGCCCGGUGCCGGAA